AUGCCUCCACGCCUCUCCAUCUCCUCAUGAAGAUCUCUCUCCAGAUAGAGACCAUUUCCUCCCUAGAGGAAUCCUUGUACUAUCCGUAGGUGAGAACACUUCACCUCAUUACCUGGAUGUGGAGUGUUGAAGCUGGAAGGGAUCCCAGAGAUCUGGAAACUCCCCAGGAGUUUGGAUGCUUCAUCUCUGCUGAGACCCAGUGCCUGGCACUGAAGGUGCUCAGGAAAUACCUUCUGAAUGAUCGGAAGCCCCUGCCAUCUGCUAAACUGGAUCUAUGAUGACAGAAGCCGAGGAAUGUGAGGUUCAUCUAGAGAGUUCUUGUGAAUUUUCCAAGGGAGGCACCUGUUGAAUUCAGGCAUCGGCAUGUGACUUGAUUUGGUCAAUGAAAUGUGAGAGAAGUGACAUCCACUUUGAGGCAGGCACUUUCCGAAUGCCAUCAAGCUGAGAUGUGAAGCGGAAGUGAGGCAGAGGCUCCCUUCCUUUUGUUUGGCGCAGUUUUCUGUGAGAGAGCAGAGGUGGGAGAUGAGGGGACCUCUGCCCCAGUGUUUCUGCAUCCAAGCUCCAGCCUUGUUGAAGUAAGUGGUCAUUGAAUGCUGCUGUCCAGAAGGGGAUUCUCUCUCCUCGGCUGCUUCCUGAGUAAUAAUCAAGGCCAAGAUGGAGUCUCUGCAAUUCCAAAUACAUCCUGCUCUACCUGGAUCACUGCCUUGAGCUGGGUGGAAAGAGUUGACUGUUUCUGUAAUAGCAUACCUUGAGAUCUACUCAGAAAUGGCAGACUGGGAGAGAUGGCACUCCCACUUAUUCCACGUGCUCUCCUACACUUCCCAGCCUCCUAGGUGAGGGCUGUGUGGCUUGUUCUGACCAACGCAGGCACACCUUGGGGAUAUGCAGGUUCCAUUCCAGACCACCCCCAACAAAG
rnacentral:lncRNA from 1 species